rnacentral:rRNA from 1 species
UACGUAGGGUGCAGGCGUUAAUCGGAAUUACUGGGCGUAAAGCGUGCGCAGGCGGUCUGCUAAGAGAGUUGUGAAAUCCCCGGGCUUAACCUGGGAACUGCGUUUCUAACUGGCAGGCUUGAGUGUGGCAGAGGGGGGUGGAAUUCCACGUGUAGCAGUGAAAUGCGUAGAGAUGUGGAGGAACACCGAUGGCGAAGGCAGCCCCCUGGGCUAACACUGACGCUCAUGCACGAAAGCGUGGGGAGCAAACAGG